rnacentral:rRNA from 1 species
UACGAAGGGGGCUAGCGUUGUUCGGAUUUACUGGGCGUAAAGCGCACGUAGGCGGAUCUUUAAGUCAGGGGUGAAAUCCCGAGGCUCAACCUCGGAACUGCCUUUGAUACUGGGGAUCUCGAGUCCGGGAGAGGUGAGUGGAACUGCGAGUGUAGAGGUGAAAUUCGUAGAUAUUCGGCGGAACACCAGUGGCGAAGGCGACUCACUGGCCCGAUACUGACGCUGAGGCGCGAAAGCGUGGGGAGCAAACAGGAUUAGAAACCCCUGUAGU